ensembl:lncRNA
CGGUAGCCUCCUCGCUGCCGUAGGCCAGCAGCAGCGCCUGAUGCUUCCCUCUGCACCACGCGGAAACAGGAGCCGCGAGGCGCUAAGAGGUGUCGAUGCGCUGCGGAGAACUGCACUGUCUCGGGAAGGAAGUCAAACCAAGAAAGCAGGAAAAGAUAAAAAGUGGAUGCCUGGCUAAUGAUCGUCCUAAAACAUAGAAGACUUCUCAGACGAAAACAGGAGCGCUUGAGUUCGAGUUUGGACGAUGCAGGGAGUUUGUGCCUGGAACAUAAAAAUCUAGGUGCCCAUCCAGGGCAAGUGGGAGCCUGCUAGAACAGUUCCGGGCCUGCUGGACGCAUCCCCAUGUACGAGCAGUGCUCUCCGGCCACUCCACCCCCAAUGAGACAAGAGGGACCCGCAGGCUGCAUAUCGGGGGCUUAUAUUGCCAUGAGGCCUCUUCGGGCGAUAUAUGCGACGCAUGGCCUGGAGAUGAGCUGGCCCUCAAGCAGGAUUUUGGCGUGAAGUCCCUGGGAGGUUGUCCCUGUCUAGCACACAAGCCUGAGGGUAUUGGUAAGUCACAGGAAGAUAACAAGUGGCUGUCAGUUAGAGCUAACUGUUUCUUUGUCUUUACUGAAGCAAACCAAUUUACAGAUUGGCUUUCAUAUUUAGAGACAAACCUUUCCUCAGGUCCUGCAGGGGUUUCACAACAUGCCUGCAGUGGUCAGAGAAGUGUUAGAAUGGUUGUUUGCCCGGAAUAUAGAAAAGGUGUUAUUUUAUGUGAAAGGGAGUGAGGGCAGGCUGUCAUUUUUAAAUUGAAUAAGCCUAUCGUCCCAGUGGUAAUUAGAUACCUUAUUUCCUGUGGCACUAAUAGGAAUUAAUACACAAGUAUCUCUGUGACCAUGUGAAAAGGUUUGUGGCUUCUGUGCAAAUCCAUUUCUCUUGCAGCAGUUUGUCUUAAUCUUACAAUGCGUUUGGUGCUUCAUGGCGGUGCAUAAUUUCUGCCUUUUAAAACUCAUCUGUAAGAUGUUUGCUGAAGUUGCUUGGGAGGCUCCGCCGGUGGGAUGCAGAAAAGAUGUCAUUGACUAUAUCCAUUGGAAGCACUGCGAGCCAGAGGCUCAGGGUGAAUAAUGGCUUAUCUAGGUUUGUUAACUAGCCCCAUUGUCAUAGCUUUUUAAGAAUAGUCAUACUUGAGAUCAGGUGUAUGUUGCUUACUUGAACAUUAUUGUGAAAAGUGUAGGUUAUCGAUGUUUUAAAAUAAGUCUAUGACACUGGGGUAGCAUAUGUAAUGAAGACUAAAUGCUGUAAUACCUCAUUUUUAUAUUAUCCUCUUCUAGAAAAGCAUUUAGAGCAGAUUAAAAUAUUGAUUGUAUUGUUUUGCUUAUUGAAUGGAAUGUAAUACUAAGAAACCUUAGUGAAGGUGAAUGGGAUACAGUGGUCUGACCCCCUGGAGAAAGCAUCUUAUGAUUUGCUGUAGGGAUUAGUACAAUUUUUACCAGACAGUAGUGUCUCUUUAAGUCCUGGGGAGCAGAAAGUUCUGACUUGAAGGCAAAAUGUUUUGUUGUUGUCUUAAAGUUCUUGCAGCUUGGUAGCAAGAAGGUGGCUAACAAUCAAAAUUAAUGACAAUUCUGAGGAAAUUUAAAAGACAAUGUUUAGCUUUUCUAAAAGGCUGUGUACUUUCAUUCCUAAUAUCUGUAGUGAUCAAGCCAGUAGUCUUUUUCACAGAGUAAUAGCCUGCAGGCUGUGAUCUCUGCUCGAAAAGCUGAGCUAUUUUAGAAACGGAACUUAGCUUGUUGCCUGCAGGACUGCAAAAGAUGAUCAGAACACUGGUCUUUUUUUAAUGCUUUAGUGUGGUAGGCAUACUCUCUGCAAACAUCCCUUACUUGUUUGCCCAGUUUUUAAGAUUAAACUUGCUUGAAGUGGGAUUGUAAAACCAUUCCCUGCAUCUAUGUUAGCGGUUGUUGAAAAUCCUCAGUAAUGGAGAUCCUAAAAUCUGCUGGGGCAGUCAGUUCCAUGGCAACAUCAUUAAACAGCUGAGGGCCGUUCUGCCUCCAAGUGGACUUUACAAAAUUAUUCUGGCUUUUGAAUUAAACUAAUAUUAAUUUAGCUUUCUUGCCUAGGAAGGAGAGGUGAAUCCCCUCGCACUGUUUCAGCCUGUUGGAUAUGCUGCUGUGCAUCAUUCAGGUUUGUGAACUGAAUGUAAGUACUAGGUGGUUAUGGGUUCUGUCUGCCUCAGAGGCUGCUACUUCCAGUUGUCAUUUGCGCUCUUUGAGAAACAUUUCAUCUUUUUAUGUAGACAUUGGUCUUAGUUGUCUUACUCUCAUAACUGAGUGUAAAACAAAGAUUGUGGUGUUAUUGUGCAUGACUUCCCUUAUGUGGUGCUUGUUAGUAUACAUAUGCUCUUCCUAGGAAUGACCUUGCUUGUGUGAGAGUGUGUGUGUGUGUGUGGUUUUUUUUUGUUUUUUUUUUUAAACAAAGUAAAGGGAACAUCUUUUUGACCUAAUAUUAAAGAACGUGGCACAUGUGCUUCUAAUGCUAAUGUAGUGUUGCAGGAAGCAGCUGAGAGCAGUCAAUAGCCCAGUGUCCAGUCAUGCCAAGACAGGAAUAGGAGGACUAGCUACUGAGAUUCCCUUGAGAGUGGAGAAAGAGGAAGAGAAUCCUGAUGGGAGGAUUAGCGCAAUCCCAAGAUCAUUAUAUGGGUACUGUAAUUGGGGAAACAGAAAGCUGACAGAAGAAAGAUUAAAGCUUUGUGAGAAAUAAAGGAUCUUUCCCAUCAUUCCUGAGUAAGAGG